ensembl:lncRNA
AUGGCAGGAAAGCCAAAUUCUCUCAUGACAACCUCAGCGCAUGGUAUGGGAUUGUCUUCUGUGGUGCAUGGGCCUCUCUCAAGAGCAUAUCAGGUUAAUGGGAGAGAACGCAACUCAACAAACGCAAUACACAGGGAGAGUGCCUUCAAAGAAAGCUCAGACCCCACCAUUAACCAGCUGAAAGCGACAUUUGAAGACUCAUCCUCUCUGCCAGGACCAGUAUUGUCCUGGAUCCAUCUUGCAGUUCAAGCCAAGGACUGACAUCUUUCCUCCCCCUGCCCACCAGAAGCUGCCAGCACAGUACCUCGUUGAUGGCGAGCUGCUCUCCGCCUCCCCCAGGGUGGCCAUAGCGGUGGUUGGAGCUGCGGAAGUCCUCGUACAGAUCCUCCUCGCUUCCCACAUCAUCUGUCAGAGCUGUCUUGUCCAGGGCCCCAUCAGCAAUCACUGCAACAGCAAAAAGAACUCACUGGUUAUACACCACAAAGUCCUCAGAAGUGCUGCACCAAUAAUAUGAGCUUGGUAGGGGUAAGGGAUAACAGCAUAGAGAAGAGACAAGGAAACUAGACAUGCCCAUGACAAAGAACACAAAUGUGAUUUUACAGAAAAAAUAGCAAGGUAAAAAGCUUGUGUCUCCCAGUUCAGGCCAAGGAAACUCUAAGCCUUUGGAAAACAUUCACCUUCCUCUUUGUCCACCCAUUCAGUUCGAGAACCCCCUUUGUUGAGCACUUGAGCACUUUGAGCACUUUGUUGAACCCCCUUGAGCACUUGCUAUAGAAGUGUCCUCGAGCAUCACCAGCACAGAAGGGCUGUUCUGCUUGAAGUAACAUGGAAUAAGCUGCAGGAAGCUGAGGCUCAGCAGUCUGCAGAGAACACCUGCGCUGAAGUCUCAAGACACAAGCAUGACACUGAAAAAAUGAUAUCCACACUUGUUGCAUAGACAAUUCCUCUCUUUCACAGGCAGGAACCUUUUUCUAAGGUCUCCUCAAGAUCUUAGAAAAAGAAAGAAAUACAAAAGAGAGCAAAUACACUUCAGAGCAAGUUGAUGACUCAUCCCAUACCUGCCUAGGCAAGAGUUCUCAAAAUCUGUGAAAAAUGCUAAUGAUUAAAGAAAACAUUUGAAGUCAUAUUCUUCUGGAAUAGCAACUGCUAGAAAAAUGGUUUCCAUGACAAAGAGGUGGGCUUCACAGAAAAUUUCCAUGCAUGAAAUAAGCAGCUAACAGAAAGACACACAUGAUGCAGAGGACAGCAGCUGAUGUAAUUAAUAAUUUGAGUUUAACAGGCUUAACAUGGCUUCUCUACAGGGACUGAGUGAAGUGAAAAUGCAGACACUGCCAUCAUUACUCCUGUCAAAGUUAUAUAUCAUGUCAUACUUAAAACUUUUGCAGAACAAGUGAAAUAAAAGCAUUUAUCUUGAUCUUGUACAGCUUGGAGAGGGAAAGCAUUGGUUGGACUGGUUUUUGAGCUCUCACUUCAUUCCAUUUGUAGCAAGACCUACAAACAUCAUCCUUGCCAAUGCUUUCAUUACAUGUGAAGUUGUUCAUUAUACAUUAAGGCUGCAUCAAAAAUAUGCCUAAUAAGAGUGAGGUGUAAAUUUACUGCAGCAUUGGUCAGUUCAGUGCAGUUACUUAACUUCUACAUGAUGAGUUUAUGAGCUGCUCUUGAACUAAAUAUUUAUUGAAUUCAAAAUAUAAACAAUCAAAUACAGCACAGCAAAGAUACUCAUCACCUAAACCUGGAAACUCAUCCAAGACUAAUGGACGCUCAGGACAGAGAGGUGAACAAGAGCUUAUAAUGAAAGCAGAGCUUUCUAGGUCAAAUAGAAAAGAAGCAAGAAUAAUACAAAAGUCUUUGAAGACAAGUUGGGAAGAAAAUAUUGCAGAGAAAGAGGAAGAACAGAGAAAGUAUGAACUGCUUCUCCUUCACUCAGAAUAAUCAUCUACCUUAAUCUAGGAAAACAUUUUAGCUUCUCUCAAGUUAGAAAAUGAUGUCCUUAACCCCUUGUUCUCAACAAGGAACUUAAUGCUACCUAGCUUGUGGCUUUCAUCAGAUACCAUUCUUUUAAAUUCUUGCUGAGCCAUGAUCUGACAGCUCAUAACACAGUUCUAGUCUCUAUGCCUUGAUUUGACCUGCCUCUCAGAAAAGAGUCAAGUUCCUUUUUCCAAUCCUCUUAAAAAAAAUAAAAGUUCACAUGGACAUACUCUACCAAAAAAUGAAGCCCAUAACCACUCAGAAGUUCUCAGUCCUUUAAGACAGAAUGGUAUAAGAUAGUCAUUAGUUGUUUUCCCAAAAACACUAUGUUCCAGGGAAGAACUGAAAAAAGGCCAGAAUUUGCUCUGAAGCAGCUUACAUGGGAGAAGAGAUUACAAACAAAUAAAUAAAACAACAGUCUGAAACGGUGACCCAUUGCACUAAAAAUCCAUCAGGGAAGUGGGAGAAUGAAGGCUUUAAAUGUAGGUAAUGACUCAACAUGCACAGUAUAAACUAGGUCAAGUAGAAAAGAAGCAAGAACCGUACAAAAAUCUUUGAAGACAAAUUAGCCGAAAUGGCUAAAACAGUCUAUCAGCUUCUCAGCUGCACAGCACUAGUAGGACAGACAAGUAUUUUACUGUGCAGGAGUUGGUCUGGGUGCCCCACUUCCCCUCCCCACCAAAUGCUCAUCUCCAUGUCACACUGCAAUCCACUGAUGCGGCCGCAGCUGGCUUCUGUGUCCUCCCGAAGCCACGGAUCUGACCUGGCACUGGCAAUCAGACAGCAGAGAGCAACACUUUGUUAAAAAUAACACUGAGCUCCAAGUUACAUCCAAUUAGCUCAAGCAGAUUUCUCCACAUUUCAUACGGCUGUCAUGCUAGAUUCUGUUAAAUAUGGCAACAAAUCCCAUACAGAGGAACGUAGGGAGGGGGUGUCACAAACAGUAGUACAACAUUCUUCUCUGCAAGCAUUACAACUCUGUAUUCUGCUGUUGUUAAUCCAAGAGCAAGCUCAGAAUUCAUGGUACAGGAGCACAAAAGCUGAUGGAUAACGCUUCCAAUACCAACUGACAAGAGUGUGCACAAACCCUUUUUUUGUAUUUGAAUAGAGAGUAAGGUGUCUACACAAGGAAUAACCUCAAGGACACAGAGCAGUGAGAGCAUCCUGGAGAAGAGCGUGGGUAAAUAAAGCUUGAUCAAAAUGGAGGAAUGAGGUACACGGUUCAUUCUCACACUGCUCUACAUGCCCUGCAGCCUGGGGCUUCCCACAAAAGGACACUGCUCACAGGGGGAUGAGCUCCUCCUGCAUGGCCCUGCCAGCCCAGCCUGCUGGCUGCACCCUGCCUGUAGGUCACUGCUGCCCCUGGGCCACGGGGAAUGGCAUGCUUGCUGCUCGCAGGGACCUGCCUGCAUGUAGGGUGCUUGCUUGUUCCUGGGGGUCAUCAGCUGACUUGAGCCUGGAGAAUAAGUGAGCCUAACAGAGAGGUGGGGAGAAAGAGAGGAGUGGGGCCUUGUGAUGUUCAUCUUACAGAUGGGCAGCCAGAAGAUGAAUGGGCUGAAGGGCUGAAUGGCACUGAGUGAUGAGGAACAGCAAACAUAUUCCAGAGACCCAACAAGAAAUGAAUUUGUUCACCACGUCAUAGCUCCUCUCCAAAAG